ensembl:lncRNA
CACCACAGCAACUUAUGUAUAAACAGAUUUCAUUCCUGUCGAUGCAUCAUCAACUACUCAGAGAGUUCACUGAAAUACUUGAACUACUCUCCAGGAAAAUCUGCCAUAUUGCCAUUACUUGCCCACUUCAACUGAGGAUCUUUCAGAAACUAGAAAAACUAGUUUAUAGACUACUCUAGGCAUUAAUCUUUGUUUUUUUUUCUAUUUCCACAGAAAUAUCUCUUAUUAAAGAUCUGUCUGCAUUAUAGAGGCCUCCCUUUGAGAGCUCAUCUGCAAUAUCACCAUCUGAAAUGAGACACAACUAUUUAACAGAACUGACCUAUUCACAGGACUAAGACUGAUUCAAGAAGACAUGUGCUCUUUCCAGAGAGUAUUGGCUCCAGCUGUGGAUCUGCAUUUGUCUGUGUCACCUGCCAGAUGGGACAGGACCAGGUUCCACUUCAGUGGUUCUCAGUGUGGCCCUGAGACCACCAGCAGCAGCAACAUCACCUGGGAACUCAUUAGAAAUGAAAAUUCUCAGGCCUACUUCAGACCUACUGAAUCAGCCACUCUGGGGGCAAAGCCAGCCAUCUGCGUUUUAACAAGUCCUCCAGGGGAUUCUGAUGUACACUGAAGUUUGACAACCACUGUAAACUCUCUUUGACUCCAUGCUUUUUGUCACAGUGUCUGAAUGUCUGAAUGGCUGCCAUGAACUGUUUUGCUGGCUCUGUUUAAACACAACCAGCACAUAGGCAUGACUAAGACAGAACCAAACUCCACUGUUAGGUUUACCUCUGAUUAUUAGAGCUGAAAUGUGUUAACCUUACUUACUGGACUGCUUGUCAGAAAUGAAGAAAACUCUGUCGAAUUACAUCAGCCAGAAAAAUUGCCAGCUGAAACUCUUUGCAUGUGGUAGUCACAAAUACUAUAAAUCAUUGACUGGAAUUUGGCAACCACUUUCCUGCCCCACCUCCCUGCAGACGGCAUCUUGUUAGUGAGUCAUGGGGAUGCUCACAAUAUGUUGACUGCAUCUUCUAAGAAAUCUGACAAUUCUGUGAGUUAUUUUUCUUUUCGUGUGUGAAACAUCAUAAAAAAGACUUGUGGCAUUUCAUUUCUUUUUCUAUUUCACUCUCUUGCUGUUUUUAUAAUGCUCUUUCUAAAAAAUAUA